rnacentral:lncRNA from 1 species
AUUAAACUUUUUAAUCCGGUUAUAGUAUUUUCGGUAUUGACUUGACCCAGAAGAUUAAAAGGACUAAGUAUUCUAGAGCUCGAGUAGUUCGAGGAUGGGCAGCCCCCUAUGAAGUGGGAUGUCACAGUUGAUUUCAGAACCAAUCAUCAGUUAGAAGUGUGAGAGGAGUUUCGGCUAAAUUAGGAUAAUAUAGUGGGUAGAGCGCGCCUCUCUCCAAAAGGUCAGCUAAAACUAACGAAACAAGUUUCACAUCGCCUAAUAUUUGUGAGUGUACUUGAGCCUGAUGAGGAUGUCUGAACUUAAAGGGGAGAGAAAUGUAACACUCUUAUAAUUUUAAAUAGUCCUAUAUAUUAGAUAUAAUAGCGCUAAAUCUCUUAAACUAGCUAUAGCAUUUUAAAUAGUAGCUAGGCCCAAGAGGUUAAAAUAGUUGAGCAUGCUAGAGCUAUAGUAGUUCUAAGAUGAUAAUUAAAGUUUAACUAAAUUUAUGUAUUUUUUAACUUUUGAGAGAUGUAUUUACUAAUUAAAAAUUUAUAGAAAUAAACCUACAAUUUAAACUAUGCAUAAAUACAUAUGAAUAUUCCCUACAAGAAAACUGAGAAAAAAAAGAAAAAGAAAAAUUCAAAUACCACCUCUGUGGUUUCAUAUUUUUUUAUUUUAGUAUCUUAUGAUUUAAAGUAUAUUAAUUUAGUACUCUGUGGUUUCAUUUUUUUUCUUUUUGUUACCAAUCCACUAGUUUUUUUCGUUAAAUCAGUAACAAAAUUAAAACUAAAGAGUAUUAAAGUGAAUAUUCGAUAAACCUAGGUAGGGUAUCUGAAGUUUCUUGUAUAUAAUUCAAAAAAAAUAUUAACGGAUGAGCUAAGAAAAAGUGAAAAAUAAAAUCACAGAAUAUUAAAUUAGUAUAUUUUAAAUUAUAGAAUACUAAGUAAGAAAGUGUAAAACUAUAGAAAUAAUAUUUGGAGUUUAUCUAAAAUAAAAAAGAAAAAAAAGGGGGAAAAUUAAUUACCUCGUGGGCGAGAGAGUAGCAGGUGAUGCCACAGGUGACGGUGUUAACGCCCAGCAGCCGCCGUACAUCGAUGAUCCUGUCCGUCGAAAUACCCUGUACCCAAAAAACGAAAUCAACCGUCCGAUCAAAAACCGACGGCCCCGAUCGACCGAUAUCCCAUUCUGAAAAUUGCAAACCCUACCCCAUUAAAUCCCCCAAAGUACCAGGAAAAAUGAGCAGUAGCUUUUCUUUUUGUGAAAAUUGUACCAACACCCCCUCAACUGUAGAUUCUUGUGAAAUUAACCCCUCAACUUUAUGUUUUUUGAAAUUUUGAAGUAAAAAUACAAAUUAUAAUCAAAUUCAGUUGUGAUUUCCAGAGAAAUUACUUUUCAGCAAAAAGAAACCUAAACUUACAACGGUUAGUAGUUAAAAAUUUUAAUUAUCUAACUACUAUAAUUUAAAAGUGGUCACAAUAAUAAUAAUAAUAAAGUUAAUUAGUAUGUAUAUUUCUAUAUCGACGUAUUAACUAGGGCUGUCAACGAGCCGAACACGAGCGAGCUAGGGCCGGCUCAUGUUCAGCUCGUUUAAUAAACGAGCCGAACACGAGCCGGCUCAAUUAAGAUAUCGAGCCGAAAUAUUUGUAGCUCGUGUUCGGCUCGUUAAUAAACGAGCCGAACACGAGCUGGCUCAUGAGCUGGCCAACGAACAAUAAGUUAAAUGAAUUAGAUUGGAUAUAUAUAAAAAAUUAAAUUUAUAAAAUCUUUCUCAUUAAAUAUUGAAUUAAUAGUUGAAACUUUAUAUAUAAAUCAGUCUUUUUAUAAUUGAGUUCAGCUUUAUAUUUUUUUUGCUAAAAAUCAAAUAACAAAAAUAUAUUUUAUAUAUAUAGUUAUUUAUUUUUAUAUAUUAAUAUGUAUUCGAGCUGUUAUCGAGCCUAGCAUGAGAACACGAGCGAGCUGACCUCACUCGUGUUCGCUCGUUUAUCAAACAAGCUGAAAAAUUCAGCUCGUAUUCGGCUCGUUACUAAACGAGCAAUUCGAUCUCGAGUUAGCCGAACACGAGCUGGCUCGCGAACAACGAGUUGAAUUGCCACCCCUAAUAUUAACUACUUUUGUUGUCCACUAUAAGCCAUUUUGAAAUGUCCCCCCUCGACUUCAUGUUUUUUGAAAUUUUGAUAUUGUAAUCGUUAAAAUAGAAACAUAAUCAAUUUUUCUUGUGAUUAAUUUCAACUACAAUUGCUUUUUCAGCAAAGUAAAAUUUCACUACAUUCGAUAAAAAAUUUACCUUAACUAACUAUUAUAAUAUGAACCAGAAAAAUUGGAAGUUGAAAAAGUGUCAAUUUAAAACAAAAAAAUUGAAGAAGCUAAUUAGUAAGUUUUUUUGUAAAUAGCUUAUAGUUUAGGGGUCUCCAUGCAUGUUUACCAGCCUUUUUUAUGUCCCAACCAAAGGGGAGUUCCAUUAAAUGCCACUACACUCAACAAGAGAGCUCAAGUCCAUUAAUGAAACAGUUAUUUUCAUGUAAAAAUGCAUGGAGACCCCUCAACUAUAGCCUACGUAUAAACCCCUCAACUUCAAACAUUCUGAUCACAAGACCUCCUAUAAGAAGGUAAUUUUAGCCCAAUAAUUUUAUAAUUUUCUCUAAUUUAAUAAAAUUUUAAUUACUCUUUUAGUGAAUGAAAGUAGAUUGAUUAAUGGCCUACAGCUAAUAGAACCAUUGAGUUUAACCCAAAAAUUAGAGAUUUUAUCAAUUUUUUUCGGAUAAUUUCAUCAAAUUUAGUAAUUAUAACCAUUUGUCUCAAAUAAAACUAGAUUAAUUAGUUGAUAAUAGAUAAUUAAGCUAAAAGCUUAAAUAAAUUUUUAGCUUUAAUCAAUCAUAAAAAUUCGAAUUAAAAAAAUUUAGUAGGUCAAGAAAUCUCAAUUGGAAAGAGGAUAAACUUUAAUUUGUCCCCCUGCGGUUUAGCUGGUUUUCACAUUGCUAUCUUGUGAUUCAAAAAAUUACACUUAACUAACCUGUGAAUUUUUUGAAAACAAUAUUAAAGAUUCCUCCUACAGUUUAGCGCUUUCGUAGUUUAGUAUCAUAUAGUUUAAAGUGUAUCAUUUUAGUACCUGCAGUUUUAUUUUUCUCUUCCCGUCAACAUCUUCGUUAACUCUCUGAUAAAAUAUAUAUAAAAAAACUUAAGAUACUCUCCUCUGAUUUAUUAAAAUUUUACUUCAGUACUAUGUGAUUUUAACUUUCUCAUUGAUUUAACAAAAAAAAAUUAACGAAAGGAGUAACGAAAAGAAAAGAACAAGAUCAGAAGAUACUAAAGUGGUAUAUUUUAAACCAAAAAGUAUUAAAGCAAAAAAAGUGCUGAGCCACAGGGGUGGUAUGUUAUGAGACCCUGGAUAGUCCUAUAUAUAGGAUAUAAUAUAACUAAAACUCUUAAACCGGUUUAAACAUUUUGGAUUGUAACUAGGCACAAGAACUUAAGAAGUUUUUUUUUUUUUUUCAGAAAAAGGUAGCAUGCUACCCGCCUCGUUUAUUUCAUUUAGAAAUAAAUUUAGCUGGAAAUGUCAAUCAACUAGGAUUCGAACUUGGGUCUCGGGUAUCAACCACCAAGCCCUUUUGCUACUUGCACUAGGGACGGUCAGUAGAACUUAAGAAAGUUAAACGUGUUAGGAUGGAAGUUUAGGAUGAAUGAGAAGUAGUUCUAGGAUGGGUGAUCAUUGGGAAGUUGAGGCGUCACAUAUGUGACGUUUUUCCAAAUUAUUUUGAUGAUUAUAUAGUAGUGAAGUAUAAAUUUUUGAACCGCAGCGUAUCAAAGUGAAAGUAAGCUAAACCAUAGCAUAGUUAAAUAUAACUUUUUAAACUACAGGAUAAUAAAGUGAUGAAUAAGUUUUUUUUUUUUUUUUUUUUUUUUUUUUUUUUUUUUAAGAGAGAGAUAGAUAGCACAUUACCCGCUUCGUUUAUUUCAUUUAAAAAUAAACUUAUCUUGAAAUGUGAAUCAACUAGAAUUCGAAUUUGAGUCUCAGGUACCAACCAUCAUGCCUUUUUGCGACUUGCGCUAGAGACGGUCGGUAGUGAUGAAUAAGUUAAACCACAAAUUAAAGUUGUUAUUCUAAAGUCGAGGGGCUCUCCAUACGUUUUUAACCCAAUUUCGGUCCCCGCACCCGUUAAAUUAAACCCACGAAGGUGACGGGACCCGACCUCGCGGGGAAAACAUGGAGAGAUUACGAAUCCCAAACCCUCUUUCGCGGAUGCACCCCAUUCCUCGUCCUCAUAUUCUGAUUCAUACUCUUCCCAUGUCCUUUCUUUCUAUAUACAUGUUUAUGUAUUAUGUACGUACAUAUGUGUCCUCUACAUACUCUUUUUUUUUUCCGUUUUAGUCCCAUAAAUAAUCCCAAAUAUGUAAUUACUUAAUUAAUUAUAAUUAUAAUUACAAUUACAAUUACAAUUAAAUUAUUUACUUAAAAAGAAAGGGAGAUAACAUUACCUUUAGAACGACAUGAGACUCAUCCGGGAGGUUUAUUGUGAUAUCAAUAGCCAAAGGGAGAACUAAGAAAAAAAAAAAAGAAAAGGAAAGAAAAUUUGGUUAAUUACUUAAUAUUUACAUUCUUAUUUGCAAAUAUAGUAGAGCAAAAAGAUAGAACGGUUUAUGCACCUUUCUCUUCUCUCUUCUUCUCCCCCUUGGCCUUUCCGCGGCCGCCCCUCGGCGCCAUUUCCGCGCGGCGAAAGCCGAACACACCUGACUGCCAAUAUAUAAUAAUAGCAAUAAUAAUAAUAAUAAAGAAAUUUCCAUGAAAAUUUAACAAUAACAAUAACAACAACAACAACAACAACAAUACAUUGAAAUUAGUAUACCAGCAUAUAUAGCUUGAGCCACAAGUAAGCAAUAUAAUUGGUGUUGGGAAAAGACAAGGAACCAAUGAAGAGAAAGAUAACCCAAGAGACAUAUAUAGAAUGAAUGAGAUAUGGAGAGAUUGAUUACCCAAUAUGCUUACCACAAGAGGAGAUGAAAGAUAUAUGUAUAUGUUAUUUGAGAAUUGUGUGUAUUGGGUUUUAGGUUCUCAUGUUUUGGAAACUCAUUGGGAGAGUGGGGGUGGAAGUGGACAUUGGGGAUAGAUGGAUAGAGGAAGAAGCAAGAGAGAGAGAGAGAGAGAGAGAGAGAGAGAGAGAGAUAGUGAGAGGGGGAAAGGAUCUAGGAGGAAGGGGUAGGGUUGAUAAGGGAGGAAGGGUGGAGAUUUAAUGGUCAGAGGAUGUUGGCUGUAUAUAAGAAGAGUAUAAUUCUCACUUUUUUUUUUUCUUCUUUGUUUUUUUGUUUCUUUUUUGGAAUAUNUAUGGCUCCUUGUAUGAGGUGAGGUGUUCGGCUUCGAGCUCGCCAUACAUGGCUCCUUAUGUGAGUUGAGGCAUUCCACAUCGCACUAACUGUGCAUUUGUGAGCUGAAAUGCCCUGCCAAAUGAAGCCUAAGAAACAAAACCUUUAUAUCUCAAAAUCGUAAACUCUAAUUCGAAACUUCUGAUUUUUGCUGAAGUAACAAAAAAAAAAAAAAAAACAAAUAUCUAUUGCAUAUAAUUUUAUUUUAAUAUUGUGUAUGUAAUAUAUAGGUUAGUAAUAGCUUUCGUUUUGUGAAAAUUAUGACGUUAUGCUGUUUAUCUAGCGCCUUAUAUUAAAAUCGUUUCUACUCUUUGCUCCUUAUCUUAGAUAUUCAUCUGCAUAAAAAAUUUAAAUAAUGCUGAUCCUAUACUUUAGAUUUAUCUCAAAUAUGUUCUUUCACUAGAAUUUUUUGUUAAUCUUAACGGCUGCCUGCGUAAAUAGUGCACCUUCAAAUAUAUUCAAGUAUAGUUUUAAGCAUCAAAACUAUCCGAAAAGAAAUGGUUAAAAAACAUUCAUGCGUGCGAGAAUUUAAGUAUUUCAUGCCAAAUCAUUUUGUUACAUCAUCACAUUACCAUUUUCAUCAAAAGUUAACGGAACCCCAAAUUAUUUAACCUAUUUAAUACAAGGAUAAAGGGCAAAGUUGACAUUGUCUAAAUUUAUUAUGCAAAAAGUUAGAGCAAAGUGCAUGGGGAUUUUUAUAAUUAAGCCUAAAAUUAAGAACCCACAUGGAUAAUAAGUCAGUUUUAGCUAAUUGGCUUUGUUUGAUUUCUACCAUUUUUUUUCUUUUUUUUUUUUUUGAGCAACACCGAGUCAUAUGAAAAGUAAACUAAAUGGCAUAAAAUUUUUCUAAAGACAAAAUUUACAUAUUGAUAAUGAUCGGCAAAGAAAUAAAGCGUAUAGUGAUUGAUAUCUAUGUUCUUGGAAAUUGGAAAUAUCCCAAUUUUUGCCAUGACUACUAUGCUUAAUUUGUUAUCCAUGAAAAUAUUGUCGGAUCGUUUGCGCUAACCAUUAAUCCCAAAAGCUCGAUCUGUUAGAAAUAUACAACUAAUUCAUUUAAAACGUACAGAUACAACACUCGGCGGAUCUCGAUUGUGAUUCGACCCAACCAGCCUCACGCCACUCGAACAUGACUCGACCUACCCAACCUCACGCCACUUCGAACAUGACUCGGCCCAACAUGGCCUUCCGCUAUCGGGCAGGAUGCUGGCCCAUUUAAACCAACAAAUAUGACCAUUUUAAAGUAGUGAGUUAGUGAGUUAUAGCCCUAAUGAGUGGUUCAUUUCCAAGCUAGAUGAAGAAUAGGAUUGUGCCCAUAUGUUAGAAAUUCAUGUAUGAUGAUAAUAAUAAUAAUAAUGACAGUUCCAAAUUGAAUAUUAAUUAAAAAUAAAUAAAUAAAUGAUUGAUAUAUGUUAAUAGGCUCAAAUUUAUAGGCUUAGUUAAGCUUUUAGAUUAUGUAGGUCCAUCACAUUUUAGACUUAAAUUAAGUAAUAAACCUACUGGAUAAUCACACACCAAUAACAUUUGAUAGAAAUUAUGUUUGAACAAUCAAAUAAAAGCAAACAGAUUAUUCUUACAGUUUUUGUUUUUAUUUUUUUUUUAUCUGCAGAUAUUAUAUCGUGACCACAAAGAAGAACCUAUCUGCAUUCAAAUUAGAAGGGCGAAAAAUUAUCUAGUUCCAAAAAACACACCGAUCUCGCUCUACGAGAACCCUAAUGGAUAGGGCGUAAAAGUCAAGUUCACGUAACUUAUAAAGAAGCAAAUUGGACUCAAUAUAUGUUUAAUUAUACAGAUCUAAUAUAAUUUUCCCCUUAAAUUUACGAUUAGGAGUCCAAAAUGCGUCGACAUCCACCACAAGUCUCAAAUUUGAUAAGGAGGGCCACUAUGAACCGUUGAGAUUUUGGCUAAUAGAUAACAAUGGUGGGGGCGGUGGCUAAUCAAAUGCUAAUGGAUUCUCCACCCAUAAUAAUACAUAACAAUUGUGGGUUAGCAUUUUUCUUUUAUAUUAUACACAUCUCAACUAUUGUUUUCAAAGAAUCAUUGGUCUCUCCUCUCAUAGCAUAGGCUUUUUCCUAAUUUAUGUUAUCAAAUUAAUUUUUGCUUGUGAGAGAGAACUAAUUAAUUAUUAUUAGUGUUUGGUUUCUUACUUAUUAUUCUUGAUAAGUUUGGAUAUAUAGUUGUUUAAGUGCUAGAUUUAGAAGUUGGCAUAGUCAUAUUUAGAAGAGAUACAUGCAUAACUUCUAAGCAUCAAUCAAAGGAAAUGCACUAAACAAGGGGGAAAGAAAAAAAAAAAAAAAAAAAGUUGAAAUGGACAAUGAACAAUGCGUGAGUUUUAAAAUUUAAAAAUAAAAAUAAAUACAAAACUCCAUAUAUAGUUUUGCAUACAAAACAAUACGAGCUAUUUAUUAGAAGAAAUAAAGAGUCCUAGAAUUAAUGCGUAAAGCAUCUGAAAUAAUAUAACAGGAGUGUUUGAAAAUUUUUGGGAAUAAUGUGAAUCCCAAUAAUUAGAGCUUGAAAUAAUUUCAACAGUAGUAAUCGUAUCGUGGUUUUAAUAAGAACAAAAUGAUAUAUAUAUAUAUAUAUAUAAUAUCUUUUCCAGUAAUUAGCAUCAGAAAAUAGAUUUCGAGGUGAACUUAAGAAGCUGUUCACAAUUGAAUUUUUGACAUUAAGAAGUUGUUCCUAUCUACUCUCUUCAGUCGAGUGUAGAUUGAUUAAAUAGAUUAAUUUGUCACAUAUAUCAACAUCAAUCCACAUUAGCCAUAAAAGGAAAACACUUUUGCUAUGUGACAACUUGAUGGAAGAACUUGUGAGGAACAAAUAAACUGAAGAUAUUGCAAAAGUAAAAGUCUCGGAAAUGGAAGUAAAAAUAUAAAAUAAAGAUAAAGAAGAUGAGGGACAAUUUGUGAAAUUAAAUCUUUUUGUUAUUAAUGAUCAGGAGAUCGAUUGCACUGUCCAGUUACUCACCAUUUUUUGAGCAUAAAACUUGUGCUUGGAUUCAUAGAUGGUCAAAUAGACCACAGGCCUACUUUCAUUGAACAAGAUUUUGUCAAUGCAUUUGCAAAGAAAAUACCACAUGAGUAUGUUUACUAGUUGUAGAAAAUUACAUGGAAUACCAAAUUGGUGUGUUGUGUUAAAUAGCCAUCAGAUCAGAUAUUUUAUUCAAUUAGGAAAAAAAAAAAAAAACAUUAGAAAUGUCAAACCCUAGGGCCAUGUCAGGUAGUGUUGCCAAUUUUUUUAAAAUUUUUUUAAACACUAAUUUUAUAUAUAUGAUUUAACGUAUCGAUCGAAAGACUUUUCUCUUAUUAUUAUGGUUCAUUAGUGACGGAUCACAACCUAUGUAAGAAAAUUUUGAAGCAAAAUAGUGGCCGCCAAGAUUUUGUUUUGCUGGGAGACAAAUACCUUAGAUGUAAAAAUCAUAAGCAAUUCACUAUCUCUUUUUACCAUAUUUUUAUAGAAAACUAAAAAAGAAUAACUGUGAUGAUCCAAUAAUUCUAUAUUGGAUAAUGUAAAAGAGUGCGGGAGGCUUACAUGUUAUCGACACAGUAUAACUAAUAAUUGGGCUUUAAUCAUUUUGGGUCGCCGUUUUGAACCUAACAAGUUAUUAGUGUAAGUGGGCUUGCUCAAAGUAUGAUAUGACCCUCAUAUGAGCUGGUUAUCUUAGACUAUAUAUGUUAUUGGGUUGACGAGAACAUUAGGAAUUAAAAUCGGAGAGGAUCCCAACAUCUCAAUCCAACAAUGUUGGAGAAGGGUGGGAGAGUACAUGAUAUCACAAUAAUUCUACUUAAAAUAAUGUGGGAGGGUGUGAGAGCUAACAUGCGACUAUGAUGAGCACACUUGAACUAAUAAGUAAGCAUAAGUAUUUUGAGCUGGCCAACGAAUUUUUAGUGCUAGUAGUUUGAAGCAUUAUUACAACAAUACUAAAAGAGGCAAACUAUUCGGUUAAAACUGAAUUACCGAACCAAACUGAUCAAAUUCGGUCAAAAUGGUUUGGGUCGAUCAAUUUUUUAAUUUAAAUGGUUCAGUUCAACCUGUAUUUUGAUUUUUGGUGUUCAACUCGAAUGCCUUAUUUGGAACCCGAACCAACCGAUAAAAUAAGUCAAAAUAUUUUUUUUUAGGCUGAUAAAUUGAACUAUAUGUUAUUUUUUAAAGUAUUUUAAAAAACAAAAUAAAAUUUCCUAUUUAGUCUAAUAAAAUAUCUACUAUUAUUUCCUCUUAAUUUUUUCAAUAUAAAUUAAAUUCGAAUAUAAAUAGCUUGAAUUCAUUAAACCGGCGAAUCUAAAUUGUUGGCUAUAUAAUAAUUCUGAAGGCCCAAUUUAGAAAGAUUCAAACCGAUCAAAGCGGACCAAAAAAUUUUGGUUUAGUUGAUUUUCGAUUGGGAGUAAUAGUUUGAUCAGUCUGGUUCAAAAAAUUGUAAAAUCAAAAAGUUUAGUCGGUCGUCCGUUCUACUAAACCCCGACCAAGCCGAUCCAACACUCUUCCCUAUUUUGGACCGAAUAAAACCAAGAACUAGCACAGAUGGUAUGAAAUACUUUUUUUUUUCUGUCAAAGUCUACUAUUCGAGUCAUUUUUUUUCUUAAAAAAAUUACAAAAUACUCAAUUUUUUUAAUCUUAUAGAAAUUUAGUUUAAUUUUAUAUUUACAACUUUUAUUUAGUUUGUUAACUAGAAAAUUCCUUACUGUUCCCUUUUCUUGAAAAAUCAACUCAUCUUAUAAGUAAUAAGGAGGAGGAAGAAUUGGAAGAAAGACAAAUGAGAAAAUGAAUAUGCAAUUUUUUUUGUGACCCAAUAAAUAUAUAUACUAUUUCACCAUGCAUCUUGAUAGAUCCACACUACACUCUGCCUUCUUUCACUACACUAUUCUUGCAUUUUCCCUCACGUGUGUUGACAUAUCUGUUGGUUUAAAUAGACCAGCAUCCUGUUAUGUGGUGGGCGGUCAUGUUGGACCGAGUCAUGUUCGAAGUGGUGAGGCUGGUUGGGCCGAGUCACAAGCGAGACCCGUGGGCGCUGUAUCUGUACGCUUUAAGUGAAUUGGUUGCGUAUUUCUAACAACUCGAGUUUUUGGGAUUAAUGGUUAGCGUCAACGAUUCGACAAAUAGUAUCAGAGCCAGAGAUCACGGAUUCGAUUCCCGCAUGUUGUAAAUGUGUACAGGUGGUAGAGGGGGAUUAUUGGCUUAAAUGGGUUAGCAUUCUGUCCUGUGAUGGGAGGCCAUGUUGAGCCUAGUCAUGUUGGAAGUGGUGUUGGAAGUGGCGUGAGACUGCUCAAGCUUUUAGGAUUAAUAGUUAGCGCUAACAAUCCGACAAUAUCGGGCAAUGUUUAUUUCCCAAAAGCUGUGCAUUUUUAUAAAUUUUAAAUUUAAAGUAAAUUUGACUUUUAUAACAGUCACGACUCGUGCAGAAAGCGUUUGGUUUGCGACAUUCAGAUCACCAAUGAUGCAUGCAAUUUAUUCUGAAAAAAUUGUGGGACUGCUUAUGCAAUCAAUCCAAUGUCCUGAAUCCAUAAUUGCGCCUCACAAAUAUGGAACCCAUGUGAGACUUAAAAGGCUUUUAUCCUGUAGCAGUUUCAUGCACUCUAAAAUGAAUAAAAGUAACUGACCAGCUUCUACACCUACAAAAUGUUCUGGUUGACUAUCCUACUAUUGGCAAAUAGAACAAUCAUAUUCACUUAUAGGGGCCGUUUGGUUAGAUAUAAUUAUAAAUACAGCGUAGUUGGAAAUACAUGCAGUUAAAAAUACAAUAAUUGUAACUAUAUAUAUGCAUUAUAUUUUGUUGGAUGUAAUAGAAAGCACUGUAACUAUAAAUAAUUUGUUUCGUUGUAUACAGUUGAGAAAUGAUUUUUAAAAUUUUAUUAUUUUAUAUAUAUAUAAAGGUGAGAUUACUUCUAAUAUAAAAAAAGAAAAAUAUUUUUUAUUUAAAAAAUAUUUAGGGAGGUAAGCGUAAGUUACUCUCUUCAACUGCUACAGUCGAGCCUUCUCUUGUAGUUCCUACUGUAACAGUUAGAGUUAAAUACAUAAAAUCAAACACCGAAUUUAUAUUUACAUGCAGUCACAACUGCAGUGCAGUUGCAACUAUAUGCAACCAAAUAACCUCUUACGUUCAAUGGAAAUGUACUUGUUUGUGUCCAUGGCCUAAAUUAAUCGAAAACAAAAAUAUGGCACUCUUGAUGACAAGCUCAACUCCUUUGGCCCAGGUUUUCUUCUUUUUCUCCUCCUGCUUUGGAGUUAGUUCUGUUUUAAAGGGUUUGAAUUUAAUACUAAUUAAUCUAAUACACAAUUCAUUGCAAAGACUUAUAUUUAAACAACUAAAACACGAUAACAAUACCAAACAAGGCCUUACGUUCCAAAAAUCAUGGAGUUGAACUUAAUUUUUGAAGUAAGUUGUUUGUUUUGAUGAAAGCGCGAUAAAGUAAUAAAACUGACUUAUCCUUUCACUUUUUUUUUUUUGAGAGAAAAACAGUAAGUUAUCUGCUUUAUUCAUUAAAAUUUACCUAUUAAUUAGGUGUAAUUGACUUCACACAUUUUUUACUUUGAAGUUACUUGGAUUGAAUUAUAACCACAAAAAGCUAAUUUUAAAUUAGAUUCACAAAAUAUAGCCAGUAAAUUUUCACUUCUACUGUAGUGCUUUUCGAAGAAAUAAAAGAACCCAAUGAAAAUGGUACAACUACUAAUGACUUUCUCUAUGACAACUUUCUCUAGUGCUCUUUUGGAUAGAUAAAAAAAAAAAAAAAAGAAAAAAAAAAGAAAAGAAAAAAGGUUAGAAAUUGUCUCAUUGGUUCGAAAUUUGUGGAGAGACGAGAAGAGAAAUUGAGUCAAUCUUUUUGGCUCUUGAAGUGGACGAAAAUUAACAGGAAAUUAUUAUCGCUUCUUUUCUUCUCUUAUUAUAAAUAGGAACGUCAAUUGGUCGGAUUUGGAGCAGAUUUUUAAAAAUCUGAACCAGACAACUAAAGUCGCAACCUCCAUUCGGAUCCGAACCUGACGAAUUUUGAAAAUCUAUUUCUGAAUCGAACCCAAUCUAAAACCCAAAACACGAACACGAAAUAAUUAUUUUUUUUAUCAUAUUUCAAAACAUAUUAUAUUAAAAUUUAAAUUUUAUAAAUCUAAAUAUAAAAUCAGAUAUCCGUAUAUAUUAUAUAAUAAAAUUAAUUCGGGUUCGGAUCGGAUUGGAUGCUGACAAAAUCUAUAUCUAGAUCCAAAUUCGUCGAGUUUCCAUUUUUAUAUUCAUACAUGAUGCCGCACUUUUCAGGACGAUCAUCCAUUCUAGAACUACUUUAGCCGAGCACGCUUAACUCCCUUAAUUUUUUAGAUCUAGCUAUCAUCCAAAAUACUAUAAUUGCGUUAUAUGACCCUAAUUCAGUCGAGACUCAUCGCACACUUUUAGUUGGUGAUUGGUUUUGAUAGCAACUAUGAUGCCUCACUUUUCAAGGGGCUUGCCCAUCUUAAAACUAUUCUAAGACUAGGACACUUAAGUCUCUUAAUUAACCUUUCGGGCCUAACCGUUAUUCAAAAUAUUAUAGUUAGAUUAAAAAGUUUAUCCUAUAUCUUAUAUAUAGUAGUAUUUCAAAUUCUGUGAAGGUAUUACAGUACAUUCGAAAUCAUAUUCGUUCAAUAUCAAUAAAAUCUAAAUUGUUCAGACUCGAAUUCAAAUAAAAAUUCGGAGAUCAGUAUAUAUCCAUUAACAUCCCUAAUUACAAAUAAUAGAAGAGAAUUUUUCUCUAUUCCUUUCUCUUCAGUAAUUUUUUCCACUUGUGUUGAAAUAAACAGCAGCAAUUUUGCCCUUUUUUUUUUCUUUAUAAUUUUUUUAAGCAAUUUUCAUUUAUCCAUCUCAUUCUUAAUUAAUGUUCUCUCUUUUUCUUAAUUAUGGAUGCAUCUUAUCCCAGCUUGUUAACUUGAGCUCACAAUAUGGUACAGAUAAUCCUUUUUUUUUUAGAGAGAGAUAGGUAGCACGCUACUUGCUGCGUUUAUUUCAUUUAGAAAUAAACUUAACUAGAAAUGUGAAUCAACUAGAAUUCGAAUUUGGGACUCGAAUACUAACCACCAACCCCUUUGUCAUUUGUUAUAGGGAUGGUCGGUUGGAUAAUCUAUUUAUAAAAGAUAUUUCUAUAAGCUUUGUAUACCCACAUUGAACACAUUAUAAACGCCCCUUAAAUACGAAUUCAUGGCACAUAUAAUUAAAAAAAUAUACAUAUUUUUUAUUUUAUUUACUUAUAUAUACAUUUAUAAUAUAAGAUGAUAAAUAUUUUAAUUUUUUAAUAAAUGCAUACGAUUAUUUUCGGACAAUAUAAAUAAAUUAUGUAUAGUGGCGAAUUUUUUCUUAAAAUAUGUGAAUUAUUGUUCUACUAACUUUUAUUCAUAUGAGAAAUAUAAUAACAUUAUAUCACAAUUAAUAUAUUAUUAUCAGUAGUAUUAUAUAUUUUAUCAGCGAUAUUCAUAUUGUGUUAGCAUUUUAAUAUUUUGUAAGCCGCUGAAUUAUCGUGUCAGAAUCAUAUCGUAUUUCAUAUCUUGUGUCAAUUCGGUGACGCUCUGCGGAUAACUAGAAAAUGAGAGGAUCAGAAGCAAUUGACACGUUUCAAAGAACACAAAUAUAGAUAGACAAGUUCAAUGCAUGUUAAAUUUCUUUUGAUUUCUAUUGGAUGAUAUUGUGGCAAAAGAGACCCCCUUUGUCUCAGUUUAUUCACAACACUACCCAAAAGGGUCAAAGAUCAAGGAUAAAUAGUCACUUUUGCUUCCACUUUGUCCCCCUUAUUAUUGGCUACGUCUCAAUUACCCAUACAUUAAAGAGUUAAUUUCAUACAGGUCCCGACAAAUAUAGUAAAUUAUAAAUAUAUUUUUAUAAAAGGCUAAAUUACAUAAAAUUUUCCUGUCAAAAUUCGAUUUUUCAUUUUCCCCCCUGUUAUUUAAAAACCUACACUUUGCCCCCUUGUAAAAUAAAAAAUGUUUAAAGGAAGGUACGGUGUGUACUGUGAUGAUAAAAUGACCAUUUUGCCCCUCACCAUUUUCGUCUCCUCCCUUAUUUUUCUCAACCGCCGCCUCGAUCGGCUGCGGUUUCUCUUCAUUUUCUUCUCCACCUGCUCCCCUUCUCCUCCUGCACCCCCACCGCCCCUCAAUUUCGGCGACAGUAGGAAGGAAAUUGAGAUGGGCGUGAAUGGAGAGAUGGGUAAGGGCAACGAGGGCGAAGGCGAGGCGGCGGAGGAGGGCGAAGGGGUGUUUGUGGGCGCGGACGGAGAUGUUGGCGAGAGCGAGGCAGUGGAGGAAGACGAGGCGGCAAGGGGGCGAAGCGGAGGAAAGCGAAGCAACAGGGAAGAGGGCGGAGCAGUAUUUUUGGCAUAAAAAAUAUUUUAUAACGGAAUACUAACGGAUCACUAACGGUAGGGGAUGAAAUGCACAUUUUUCAUUUUAUAAGGGGGCAAAGUGUAGAUUUUUAAAUGACAUGAGGGGAAAGUGAAAAAUCAAAUUUUGACAGAGAGGUUUUCUAUAAUUUAGCCUUUAUAAAAUUCAACUUUUAAAUAUUAUCCAUGCAGAAGUCCUAAUAUUUUUAAAUAUGUGCUUCUGAUUUGUUACCGUUAAAACACUGCUUAUUUUAUAAGUGAAAUGACUUUUUUGCAAUCAUUAAUAUGUCCCUUCAAAAGUUCCAACUAUUAAUUAAAGAGGGAUAAAAAUGUCAAUUCACCUCAUUAACUAACUAAGGUUAAGUUUUUUUAUCUAUGGUUAACUAAUUUUUUUAACGGAUCUUAAUAGUAUGGACAUAUUUGAAAAUAUCAGGACUUUUGUAGGAAUCGAAAAGAUGGCUCGAGUCAUGAAACAACGCUCAAAAAUCUUUUUCCCUUUUGUAGGGAUACAUUUUGUGACUCACUAUGUUCGUAGGGACCAAUACGAAAUUAACCUUAUAUUUAAAAAUUGAAUCAAUUAUCUUCAUAUACUUCUCAACUAUAUCAAAUAGGCCCAGCAAUUUAGGAUGAUUGUUAAAUUCAGCUAUAAAAUUUUGUCAAAAUAAGUUCAGAGAUAAAAUUACUGAAAGAUAAUGCAAUAGAAUCAUAUAAAUUGAAUAAUAUUGCUCAAUAAAUUAUCCAUCUUGAUAGAUUAGCAAAAUAAGACAUAUCUAUAAUCUAUAUUUUUUAUAUUUUUUUUAGUUCCAAAUUAAAUAGAUGUUGAGAUAUGAAACAAUGUAAUAUGACAAUUUGUUUUAAUGAAGUUUAGCAACUAAUUAGCCAAUUUUUUAAUUUUUGGAUUUGUAUGAGAUCGUGGCAAAGUGCAAGGUGAUAAUUGAAACAACGGCUAAAGUGCAAGGGGUUUUAUUAUAAUUGAGCCUACGUAUUGACCAAUUCAAAAAGAACUUUUAGUUUUUAGUUAUGGAAUGUUUAGAAAAUUUUAAAAAAGUGUGAAUAUAUAAUAAGGAUAACAUUGGCUGCCUGUUUAGUAUCAUGAAUUUUGAGAAAAUUUUUCUAUAAAUAUUUUAUUUUUUUAUUUUUUCUUUCUGACUUUCAAAAACCUGCAUUUUACCCUCUUAAAAUUUCAAAAAUAUUUUCAAUAUAGUACGAUGUUAAUGAGGAGAGUAAAAUGACCAAAUUACUCUUACUUCUUCUAUAAGAAAAAAAAUAUUUUUUUAUAUAUUUUAUCAUUUUGAAAGAUAUUUUCGGUAUAAAUUAUAAAAAAUGGACAAAAUAGUGACGGAACCCUGACAGGGGGUGGCUAAAUGUAAUAACUUGAAAUAUUAAGAGAGUAAAAUGUUGGUUUUUGAUAAUUAGGAAGGAAAAAAAAAAAGCAGGUAUUUAUAAUAAGGUUUUCUGUAAUUUAGCCAAAUUUUUAUUCAAAAGUCAAAUAUAUGAGAAAAUGAAAAUAAAAAAUAGUUAGAGGGGUGUGGGCAUUUUGGUCAAAUGGAAUCAGUGCACUCCGGAUCAGUCUCCAUCCCACGGUUAUUAUAUAGUCUAAUUGGAUUAUAUUUGAUCUUGCUUUUAAUUUAGAAAGCCAAUUAGAGAUACUUUCUAAUCUUACUAGGAUAACUAAUAAUAAAUAGAUUCGAGGUCUCAAGUUUGAGCUAAACUUAUUUUUGAAAAAAAAUAAACGAAAUGGUUAGUAUGCUACUUUCUCUCAAAAGCAAAAAAAACUAACCAAUUCGACUUAAUCUUCUAAUCAUUUUUCUAGGACGGCAGAAAUCCUUAUAAAUAUAUGGGUAAUUCUCUCAUAAGUUUAUAAUAAGAAUGCAAGAGACGUAAGAAAAUUUUUAGAAAAUUAUGAAAAUUCGUGAGUAAUUCUACAGUCAUCUCGUGAGAGAGAGAAUCCACAUCCUCCAUUAAUUUUAUUGCUUUAAGAGAGUCUUUAAUGAUGGAAUAUAGGCCUAACUCGUUUGUAAUUUAGUCUACCGCGAGUUUGCAAUACUAGAAGACAUUCAUCAACGAUCUGAGGGCACAUGAAUCAAUUUCUAUGAUCUGAAACCGAUCGCACUCGAAGACAAGCUAGCGCGGGUUGCUUAUGCAAAAGUUAUAAAUAAAUACUUCCAUUACAUUCUACAAAUAAACAUGAUAAAAUAGGCUUCUGAUUUCUGAAACCUAUAAUUUUGAAUUUUGAGUUACAUCUUGCCUCAAAAAAAUCAUUACUUGAAAAACUUUAAAACAAAAGAGUUAACAAUGUGAGAAAAAGGAUGCAUUAACAAACUAGAAACAAAAACUUAUAAACUUGAACUAUCCAUCAAUCUUGAAAUGAGAACUCUUUUGUUUUAAAGUUUUUCAAGUUUGAGUUACAUCUUGCCUCAAAAAAAUCAUUACUUGAAAAACUUUAAAACAAAAGAGUUAACAAUGUGAGAAAAAGGAUGCAUUAACAAACUAGAAACAAAAACUUAUAAACUUGAACUAUCCAUCAAUCUUGAAAUGAGAACUCUCAGUGACCCUAUUACUAACUUAGGAUCAGUUGGAGAAUCCCUAUGCAAAUCAAGUAAAAGUUUGAUGGCUAUUAUUGAAUAUUUAUAAUUGUUUUUAAAUUUUUGUUAAAUUCUUAAAAUGUGCUUGUGUCUGAGCUUUAUAUUUCCAUGUGCAUAACCUAACAUAUGAAAACCAUAGUAAUUAAAUAGGGCAUGCAAUUCCUUUAAUAGAAUUAUGCCUUGUCAAUUACAUAGAUUUGUUGAAGUAAGCAAAGAAGGUGACCAAAUUGCUUCAAAUGUGCUUUAUGAAAUAGAGAGUAAUAGAUAAUGACAAAUGUGGGGCCAUAAUCACAUCUACCACUACUUUGUGAGCCACUAAUAUAUAUCCUCUUCUAUCUAUCUAGCUAGAGGCCCCUGGAUAGGCUAAGCUGAGAAAAAUACCUUUUCUUUCUUUCUUUUUUUUUUGUAACAAUUGUAGGCAUACAAUAUAUCAUAAACUAAUUUUUUUUUAUAGUGGUAAGAUAACAAGUGGUACAAUCAAAUUAUACUUUUGUACUUAUGCCUAAUGUGGAAGCUACUGAUUGAAUGUUGUUAUUUUCAAACAGAAUAAUUGUGAUGCAGAAAUUUUUCGUCAAAGGAUAGAUCUCGCCUAUCACAUGGUUUAUAAGAUAGAUCACUCAAAUAUUCUUAUUUCAUUAAUUUUUUUUAUGAUUAAGUUCUCAAGAACAAAAAAAAAGCCAACCCUUUUUCCCAUGUAGUAAUAUAAACCCUAUUACCAUUAAAACAAUUUUAUAAAAAGCCAAGUUGAAAAAAAAAAAAAAAAAAAAAAAACAGCUGUAAGAAAACUUUAUUAGAAACUAUUUGUUAUGCAUGACACAUCAAUACAUCAGUACAUAAGUGCAUAAGUAUCUUUUUAUAAAUAGUCAACUUAUACGAACACACCCACUAUAUAUACUUUUUUUCAUUUAAUUGCUUGUUUGUCCAAAAGUCAUUAUAUACAUACAAACUCAAAAUCUAACGACUAUCAUAUUUCAUUCUUUUAUAGAAAACUCCUUUUGUGCCUAUGAUGAAACGUGAUCUUAAAGCUACCCAGAAGCAGAAUCACUUACAUCUAAUUACCGGGCGAGAGGAUAAAUCAGUUUGCUUUUUUUUUUACUGCAUGCACUUACAUUGAAAGUAUACGAAUACCAUAAUUUUCGACUUAUACUGAAAGUUAAGUUCACCCAUUUCGCUUGCGCGGAAACAAACCCCAACUUGAAGAAGGUGGUGGAAAGAGUGCAACCAAGAACUGAACCUACCCCAGGUGGGAGAGAAGGUGGGGGUUGGAAGAGGAGGUAAAACACGCAAAUGUGUUGAAGUGGCCUCCACUUCCUCUCCUUGUGUCUCCACAUGCACUCUUAGUCCAAAAUAUGGAGAGAGACAGGGCCACAUUAAUGUAGCGUGACCUCCAUUCUCACCAUGGAAUUUCUUUCUCCUUUUCUUUUCUUUUUUUUUUUUUUCCGAGUUUAAAUUAAAUACAUGUGGACUCCAUUAGUUCAAGGUGUCUUUGGAACUUGUCAACUUAAUUUUGACAUUCGACCUUUUUUUUUUCCGGAAAAAAACGAUGCAGCUAUAGAAACUAGGGCACGCUAAGUUUCAGAGAUAUGAGAUUUGGAAUAAGAAUCAGAAUAAGUCAUUUUUAUUGUUAGAGUUUGGAUUGAAGAAUUAGCACUUCGAUUUUCAUUUCCGAAAAAUUCGAAUCCUCAAAAUUGACAACUUAGAUUCUGGAGUGAUUGAGAAAAAAAAAAUCACUAAUAAUAUAUUUAAAUUCAUAUAUAAAUAUAAAUAUAAAUUCUUUAGAUUCAAACUUUUUUUCCACUAAUAAUUUCGAAUUGGAAUUUGAAAUGUAAAUUUAAAAUUCAAAUUUUACUUAUUAAAUUUUAAUUUAAUAGUUCUAAAUUUAGAUUUUUUGUUUCCAUCUUCAACUUGAACUAUAAACUCAAAUUUUAAGUUCAAGUUUGGAUUCAAAGUUUGAUUACGAAUUUGAAUAACAAGUUAAAAUUUUUAAAAAAAAUGUAAAUUUUUUAAUUUUAAUUUGAACAUGAUUCCGAUUCCUCUCUAGAACAAAACAAAUUACAUUUCCAUUUUUAGAUUCGGGCCCUUGCCUAUUCCUAUUCCAAUUUUGAUUCUUAUUUUGAACCAGACGUGUUGCGCAAAUUUUGGACCCAAAUUGCUUCAGGAUUUUGAGAGUACACAUCUUGUCUCACAAAUUUUCAGAAGCAGUGGAGAUAGAUUAUAUGUGGAAUUUAGUACCCAAUCUUUUAAUUUAUUUGAUUUAAUUCAUUUGAUGACUCUUCCGAUGCAAAUUUAAGCUAAUUGAUUGUUUUAACGAAUUUAUAGUUACAUGAAUUAAAUAAAAUAUACUAGGUAAAUUCGUUGAGAUGACGCUCAUUCAAAUUUUAAAAUUAAAGAGUCAUUGACUUGCUCAAAUCCAAUAAACUAAAAGGUGAGUUAGAAAAAUCAAAAUUUUUAAUUAUUAGAUAGUCAGAUCAAAAUGGUUGAUAGUUGAGGUAAGUUUUAUACAUUUGUACCAUUUAAAUUUUCCACGGUAGGAGAAUUCUUUUGUAUUAUAAUUUAUCUUAUCAUACAUCCUUGUGAGGCUCACUCCCUUACAUAGAAGCUAUUUGGUUUAAGGUUUAGAAUAUUCCGAAAAUAUUUUAUAUCUUAUAUUUGAAAUGACAAGUUUGUUGCUAGCUUAUCGUACUGCUUAAGUUAGGAGGUUGUUAAGAAGUUGUAUAUCUGUAUUAAUGAACAAUUAAUGAUUCUAUCGUAAUGUUGUAAUCCUACUAGUUAAGAAUCUGCAAUGAUUUCAUUACUGCAGCAAAACCUUAUAUAACUACCUAAUUUUAGUUGUAUGAUAAUAAUUUAAAUAUUUUCAAUAGAAAAUAUGAAUGAUCUGAAAUAUUACAAAACGUGAAUUGGACAAGCUCUUAGAAUUAUCGUAUGUUGUAUGACUUAGCUCACAAUUCCAAACUACUAAUGUGUCUCUAAAGCCAAGAGUAGCAACCCAACCUAGUAAACUAGAGAUUUGUUGAGCCCAAUCCAUUAGUCCAAAUAACAUAAACUUAUUAGCAUAUGCGUUAUAAUUACAAACUCAACUUUGUUUCCCACCCCAUGAAAUCAAACGGUCGACCUCCGUACAAUUGUGCGUGGGAGCUUAGGUGAUCUUGUGACUUCUGUACUGAAACAAAUGCCGGUACUAACGGCUUUCUUGGAGUCACAAUUUCAAUAUUCGAAAUCCAAAAAAAAAAACAAACAGGGCCUUGAGCAUUACUUGCUAAAAUUGAAUUCGGCCGAGUUACAAUCACGUCAAUCCUGGUACUUCAAAUGCCGACUUCACCUAGCUUUCGAAUGGAGAUGCCGACUUCACCUAGGAACUAUGGAACACACUAGUGACUGUAAGAGAAGGAUACUCGAGGACAGAAUUACUAAUAUCCCUAGCGGCUAUGUGAUGGGCAAUUUGGGUAGAGAGGAACAACAUUUUUUUUUUUUUUGUUUGAGAGAGAGAUAGGUAGUAUGCUACACGUUUCGUGUAUUUCAUUUAGAAAUAAACUUAGCUGGAAGUGUGAAUCAACUAAAAUUCGAACUUGGGACCUUGGGUACCGACCACCAAGUCCUUUGCCAUUUGCGUUAGGAACGGUCGGUGAGAGAAGCAACAUUACUUUUCAAAGAAAAGGUAACAACCUCCUAAUUGUGCAUUUCAGAAUACACCGACCGUCCCUAUAGCAAGUGCCAAAGGGCUUGGUGGUUGGUACCCGAGAUUCCAAGUUUGAAUCCUAGUUGAUUCACAUUUCCAGCUAAGUUUAUUUCUAAAUGAAAUAAACGGAACCCGUCUCUCAAAAAAAAAAAAAAAAAUCUAAAGAAUACUCAAUUGGAGGAACAAAUUUUGUUAACAUCUCUUUUCAUUUUCUUCGCCAUUUCAUCUCUUACUUGCUUUUUUUCCCUCCUUCAUGUCUUUUAUGAGGCUCUGCCGCCCCACCCAUGAUGCUAAAUUCAUUUUUUUUAAUAAAUGAAGCAAAUAAUUUGUUUCGUCCCUCGCAAAAAAUUGGAGUUAGCUCUUGUUGCUGCUAGGGGACAUUGCUAGUGUGUUUUUUUCCAACAACUGUAGCAUUUCCACGUAAGCUCUGACAAUGUCAUCAAAGAAGCGAUAACUAUCGAAUCAGUGUGACAAAAUAUCGAGAUUAAAUCAGGCAUACAAUACUAUCAGUUCAAAGGAAUCCAACAAUAAAAUGCAGAGAUUUUAAAGCGCCAUUUAGUUUCUCAAAAAAGUAUGAGAAAUAAUUUUAUGAGAAAAACAGUAUUUAUGAAAAACCACUUUUUCAUUUUCCGCCCGUUUGUUUCCAAGGAAAACUAGUUUUUUUGAAAAACUUUGUUCCGAAUUUCCUUAGAAAACUAGCCUUUUCUUUUUCCUAAAAAAAUAAUCAAAAAAUGAAAACACUAAUUUUUCAUAAACUUUGAAGAAAAAAAAAAAAGCUUAUCCAAAGAGCUAGGUUUUUUCGGAACCAAACCGACGGAAAACUAAAGCAAGAUAUUUUUCAUUAAAAAUCUUUCCCAAAAAAAAAUUGUUCCAUACUUUUCUAAGUAACCAAACAUCUCUCUCCUAAGCCAUUCAGAAUUUAGUCUCUAUAAAUAAGAGCCGAACCGCUAAUAAUACAUAAAUUUGAUGCUCCUGUACGGCAAAUAAUCACAAAAAAGAAUAUAAAAACAUCCACAAGCAAUCAAGCAUGUUUAUUUCAAUGGAAAUAGAGAGAGGCGAAAUUAUUUUUAAUCAUAAAUAUUCACUUCUGUCAUUUGGUUUGUCAUAUAUUAAAUUUGUACGUAACUUCACUUUUUCAAAACAUCAUAAUUGACUUCACCCUACGUGGUGCCAAAGUCAAUUAUGGGAGAGAGAGACAUUGAAAGAAUUUUAAAAAAAUAAUUGUUGCAACUUUUAUCAUUCUCUUAUAUACUAGUGUAAAAAUUUUCAAUAAAAUAAAUAAAAUGAGCAAGAUCAUUACAAUUCUAAUAUUUUGACUUUCUAUCGAACAAACAAUACUGAAAAAAAUAUUUUUACCUGAGUUUCAAUGCACCUGAAAGUUAUUUUCAACCUAAAAAUCAUUUACGGCCAAACCAAACAGGCCAUAUCAACAAAACUGGAUUUUGGGGAAAAUAAAGCCCUAUCCUACCACAACAAAAAAAUUUUUGUUAGCUCACUUGUAACAUGCAACACUACAGUCUCAAGAAUUCAAGAAACAUCUAAGGUAAAAAUGUAUAUAACUGACCUCAACUAUCACCCAUUUUAAUCUAUCUAAUCUUUAGAUAUUUUGAUUUUGCUACCUAUCCUUCUAAGUUAUUUGAUUUGAGCCAAUUAAUGAUCCUUAAACUUCAAAAUUUGAAUGCGUCAUUUAUCUUUGCAGGUUUAAUUAAUACAUUUUAUGCAACUUAUUCAACUACAAACAUAGAAAAAUAAGCAAUUAGUUUAAAUUUUGUAUCAGAAAAACCAUCAAACAACAACAUAAAUUAAACGAAUUGAAAAUUGGUUACUAAAAUAAAAAUUUUGAAAGGUUAGGCAGUUGAAUCAAAAUGACCUACAGUUAGGAAUGCAAACGGGGCGGAUCCGGGGGCGGGAGAGUUUCCCCACCUCCCGCUCCAUUUCUUAUCUGGGCGGGGCGGAUUCUGAACGGGUUACUUUUCAUUUUAUUUUUGGCUUCCACUUACCGCUCCAUUCGGGGCGGAUCGGGGCGGGAGCGGGGCGGGAGCGGAUUUUUAACGGAUCGAGGUAAAUUGAAGGAAGAAAAAAGUUUCCCGCCUCCCGCUCCAUUUACUUGGCGGAUCGGGGCGGAUUCGGGGCGGGUUAUAUUUUUCUAUAUUUUUUAUUUCCACUUACCACCCCAUUCGGGGCGGAUCGGGGCGGAGCUCCACCAAUCCGGAUCCAUUUGCAUCCCUACCUACAGUUCAAGUAAGUUUUGUACUUUUUUACCAACAUCUAACAGAGCAGAACCACUUUAUGACCAAUCAGCCAAAAUAAUAAAGGAAAAGCUUAUCCUGCACAAGUCAAUUGAUCAGUAUAAUCCAACAACAAGCACUCAGCAUCUAUUCAUAGUACAACCUCCUUUCCAUCUUUCUUCCAAAGUAUCUAAACAACCCAAAUUGUGAAAAAUCAGCUCAUCCCCUUAAUGAACAUCUAUCCUAUUAAGUCCCUCUUCCUCAGAAGAAAAAGAAUUUCUCCGUAAGAUAAACUAAGACUAGAUAUUACUCCCUUCAUGGACUUCUUCAAACUAAUUGUACAAAAUGCAAGAGCAGUGCUAUCUAAACACCAAUAUUCCGCCCUAAAAAUCUAAACUUAGCAUCAACACAAGGGUUGGAACUCUCGAGUCGCAGUACAAUAGGAGCUCAAUCUAGAGCUAAUAAUGUGAUCAGAUGGGAUAUUGCUUUUGUCUGCAUCUAACAUUAAACCGACCUGCCUUGUGUGUCGGUCCCCACGAUAGCCCUUUCUCCAUUAAAACAUGCAGGACCUUAUGCUUGCCUAAUGGCAAGAAAGAGAUGUCAAGAAAAGCAUGUGCAAAAAGUGUACCUUCUGAUAUGACAAAAGUAGCACUGCAAUCUUAGAUUUUCUGGCAACAAAAUUGGUUAAAGCUAGAAAUUAAGUCAUGACUAAUGACACAGAAAAUAGUUAAUAAUUUGGUUUUUAUAUAUUUAAGAACAAAUCAUCGACAUACAACAUACUUCUGCUAUUUAUGUAGUACAGUAAAAGUGACGUAAACUUGAAAGGAAAGGACACCACAUCAACAAAGAACGGUAAAAUUUGCACAAAUUUUCGGGCAAAUAAUGUAACAUAUACAAAAGUUAGCUUUCCCUGUCUCAAGCUUAAUACUAUCAAUUUGUUUGUCAUAGUCUACAUGAUUAAAACUGAGGAAAUUUCCACAAAACCAAGCUAACUUCACUACAAUUUUGGCAAAAAAGGCCUAAUCAACCUACAGACUCUACCAACAACAUUUCAAGAAAUAGUUCUUCAUGCUUUGCUACUGCGACAAAAAUAGAUCUUCAUGAUUAUAGAAUUUUCCAACAAUGUACUUAGCUAUUAUUUCAUCACAACUCAGUAGACAUUAGGAAUCAUCAUCACAAUCAAAUUGAAAACACUCAGGCCGUUGAGUAUCUUGAGAUCACACCAUUUGAUGGAAGAGAACAAUUACAUUGUGCAGGUUCGGAGGCCCAUCACUUUAAAAGGUAGUUUGAAGAUUUCCACUCUACUGCCCUCACAAUGCAAAGAUUAAUGCAAAUUCCCAACAAACACACAUGUACAUGAAUACAACAGAUGCACAUAUGGGCUUCUAGCAUGAAAGCAUAUGGAAAUGCUGAAUCGAAAAUACAGCAGGAAAAGCGAACAAUAAUAUUAUCACAAGGAGGGAAAGAGAUUCAGGACUACAUCUACAACCUUAAAGCCUGCGAGUCAUCUGAAACAUGACCCUUGAAUUGCCGACGCAUUAGCAACAUCCGAAACCAUGGGAGUUCCAAAAGCUUCUAAGAUCAAGUGAUUCAAUAGGAACUUGGCGCAUCAGAACGGAUGCAUCUAUGAAGAAUUAGGACCAUUUUCAACUACAGGUCACUCAAUUGAUGAAAUCUUGGAAGAAUUCCGAAGGUAUUGAUGUGGGGCAGUAUUUCUUGGCCACGAAUUUGUACUGUAGGAGAAUAAGGUUCAAGCAACCUUUCAUCAAUAUAAUCAAAAAUAGGAAUAACGGAAACAGAAGCAGAAUGAAAAGUUUGCUAGUUGUACCUUAUGUUGACUGUACUUCUCUCUGAUUGCUGGUAAGUUACUUCCAGGGCUAUUGCAGAAAAGACGAUGCAAUGCCUUUGCACAGUCGCAUAGCUCAGAGGGUUUAUAUAGUGUGUAAUGAUGAAGUGUCAUAUUCUGCAAAAAUAUUCAGAAUGUAGUGAACUGUGUUAGACGUAUUGUGCAGGAUCUAACACGUAUGUCUUGUCAAGGUUUUAUAAACAUGAGGGAUGAAUCAGACUGUCGCUAGCAAAGUGGAGUAGGCCAUGAUUCAGCAAUUGUCUAGCAACAGAUUAUGCAAUUUAACUGAGAAACAAUGAUUUGUCUAGUUUCAGAAGGAGACUACAUACCCAUGGCUUCUUUGUAGGUUGGAGUAUAAACCUAGCCAAGAAGAUGGAUGAAGCAGCUAUUAGAGAAGGAGAAUAGCAAAGUAAGUUGUACUCAAGAAGUGAGAGCUCUGCAACAUAGUUGGUGAGGAACUCAAGCUGCAGCAUUGGAACCUGCGGAGAAAAGAAAUGGAUAAAAUAAACUACAAGGAAAAUACAGGAACUGCUGUACUCCGACAAAGGAAAACAGAAAAGCACCUCAUCACAUCCUUGAGCAACUCGAACAAAUCGCCUUGGUUUAAAAAGAAAAUAAAAGAUCAGUCAUUGUCUAUACCAUGAUUAUUCAUAGAAAAACCACAUGAUGAAUAAAAGAAACAGUUAGCCACCUUAAAAAGCAUUUCACUGUUGGAGCUGUCAUUUCAAACUUCAGAUACUUCAAGACAGCCGCUUCCAUUUGUAGAACCUGUGCAUCUACAUAUUAGAAACAUGAGAAAAUACAAAAUAAGAAAUUUCAAUCCUCAGCUGAAUGAACACCAGACCUCGUCCUUGAAGUAUGUAUUGUCAGUAAUAUAGCAGAACUCUUCCACCUGGGGUGCACAUAUCUCUUCAUAUUUACUGAAACAAUCAGCAUCACGUUGUUCAUUUGUGAGAGGAACAAGUGAAAGAGGGCAAGAUGGUAACAAAAUUAUGGUUCAGGUCUUACGCUGCUAUAAGCAUACAGGAAACACCAAGUAGUUGCAGUCUUUGGCGAUUCAUCUCAUUACCAGAAAGAUACCGAUCAACGUAGUUGACAGUCAGAUAUAAAGUAUCAGGUACAAGACGAUAUUCUUCUGCUACCUGUAAAAGCAUGAACUUGAGUGAGUUGACAAAUAAGAAGAAAAGAAGUUUCUGUUAACUACCAUAAAUCAAAAAUCUAUUUACUUCAACAAGCCAAUCUAUUAGGAUUGCUCGCAUGCUUGCAUUUAUGUCCGUUUGAAUUCUCUCCAUGAAAUCUGUCGAAGGCCUUUUCUUAGUCUGUGAGAAGGAUAACAAGAUAGAUGGAUUAGUAAGAAAGAACAGGAACACUCAAAUGAGGGCCUAAGUCCCAUGACAAAAUAGUCGCACAAGAUUACAAUAUACUUGACCUACAUUUCACUUAAUCUGUUGAUUCCAUGAGUUUAGGAGUUUACAUAUAUCUGUACUGAAAGCACAAUGAAAAUACUAAACAUGUUUCACAGUUUGAUCUCAGUUUAAAAUCAACCAAAAUAAAUUUCAAAAUAUUAAGUAUAUUCAUAAAGGACAAUAAACAUUAUUUGUGUCAAAUUCUUUUUCUUUGCAGACAUAUUAAAGAUGAUAUCCGUGUUUGUGAAAUAUUUAUAAUAAUAUAAUAAUAAUCAUAGGUGGCAUGGGAAGAUUAAGGCAGAAAAUCAUAUGCAUAAUGUGAAACUAAGAUAUUAUAAAUUAAUACAAAUUAAUAUAAAGCACUGGCUUGGCAAUCUGUGAAUUGUAAGUUGAAGGUGCUAUCUCAUCUCUACAAAGAUGUAAUGAAAAUUUCAAGUAAAUAAUUAUCUAUUGACAGUUCAUUUGUUUCCUCUCCCUGAGAACUUAAGGUCGUAUUCAAGAACCAACGUCAAGAAUGUUGCGUGGGAUAUCUAGGAUUGCAGGAACAGCUCUAUGAAAAGCAAAUUAAUCAUCACAGCAGAUACCACUUGCCAAAAGAUCUCUAUGAAAAACCCGAGAAAUGGAAUAUAUGAUGAGUAGAAGAUUAGAACAUUGUUCAUGAAAUAAGUAAAUGCCACCUCAGCGACACGCAAGUGCUUGUAAAUAUCACAAGCAAGUGUUGCACACAUUUGUGGAUCUUCAUAGUUGUUAUCCGCAUCAAAAAUGGCAUCAGUUUCCAUUGCAGCAGGAACAUUUCUCUUCCAUUUAAUUUCUGCAAGACAAAAUAUGUUGAUAUUUUCUUAACUAUCAAACCAACGGCAUACAUUUAUUAAAGUUCAAGCUUCCAUGUUGAGCACUAAAUUCAAUACUUAAAAAGUUGCAUGCAUGGAUUGAUAAAUCAGCAGUUAAUUAAAGUAAAUAAUUCUUCAGCAGAAAUAUGGACUUAAAAAGAAAAAAGGAAAACAAAAGGAACUAACCUGCAGCAUUGUCAUGGUCAGAGAUGUGAAGGUUAUUAUUUGCUCGCCUCUCCAGAGAAGCAACCAUCGAAGAGUCCCCAUUGUCUAUAUACUCAAAAUCCGGACUUUUCAUGGAAUCACAUGUAGACAUUGUUUCAUCCAGAGAAGCAGAAUCUCCAGAGCGGCCAGGAGAUGCAACAUUACUGCACGGUGCAAGGCACGAACCAACAGUAGAUAAAGGACCGUCAUUUUUUGGAAGCAAGGGAUCCUUGGUGGGUAAAGUACUGGUAGGCUUCAGAGAAGAUGAUGAAGUCAGAGAGCUCCGCCGUGAACUUGUGUAAGGGAUGUUAGCAAUAGAACUCUUUUUAACAGUUGAAGCCGAACUAGUCACAUUCACCUUCUAAUUGAACAAAAGAAAACUUGUAAGAUAGAUAUUCAACUAUAAAAUCCUCUCAAAAAUACAAAAGGUCUGAAAACUGCGGAGUUCAAUGGUGUAUCACGUGAAUACGUGAUUAUAAGAGAAACAACAGUUGGCAACAGUUAUAACACAUGGAUUCUUUUCCGGUACAACAAAAAUAUGCUAACGCAGAAAAAAUCAAUCUAACAAAACUACCUAGUAGAAAAAAGCAAAAAGAAGCCAAGAAAUGCUUUUUUUUAAAUUCACUAUAAAAUUCUCUAGCAAAUUUAUGUAACAUAGGUGAAAGAUAAUCGACUGACGAGACUAAUGCGGAUAAUGUUGAAAAGAAAACUAACAGUUGAUCUUCAAUUCAAGUCAAAAUAAAAUUGCUUUUUAAAAAAAAAAUCACAAUCUUCCUUUGGAAAAGGUAAAAAAAAAAAAAAAAGAUGAAACCAAAAAGCAUUUGUAAAGAUAAAUGUUUUCACUUUUAAGUAUAUAUAGUAUGUAAAUGUGAUAGCUUGGAAAAGUGAAUAACCUGCGAGAGACAAGGACCUGCAACCUACACUUGAACUAAAAAAGUUUCUGAUAUGACCAAUAAUAACAGUGGUACAAAAAUCAUAACCGAUUACAAUGGUGAUCAUGUCAACGAAGGUUGUUUCAGAAUGGCCGAAAGCCCUAGAUAUCAAUAUUCAUUAAACCCGCUUUUCCCUAAAUGCGUUCAGUAUGGCUGUUUUGGCAGUUUCAGCUUCCCUUUGAGUUUCAUAGGAAGUCUCAAAACUAUUGAAAAAGAUAAAAUCAAGAUAAUUUUGAUUUGACUUGAUGCAGAAUCGAAUGCAGAUAGAAUUGAUUCAUUUAGGUUUUAAAUUUUUUUCUAAUUUUCGGAAUUAUUUUAUUUGUUAAUUUGUUUUAGUUGUUUUUUAAAAGAUUUUUAGGAUUUAUUAUGUUAAAUAAAUCACCUAAAAAUUAGAGAUACGAUUUAGGAUUUUUUUUAGAUAUGUUCUGAUUAUAAGAUCCCUAAAAUCGUGAGAUUUAUUUUAGAUUAGGAUUAUAUUUUGACGGCUAUAAAUAUAGCCUACACCUUCUAAUUUAAGAGAUGAGUUAUAAUAAGUAAAAUUUGCGUUUUGUAUUUUGACUGCGGUCAUGAUAGUACGUCCUUCUUUCUUGCCAGCAAACAUCUAUUUUCUUCAAGAUUCCUUCUUCUCUUUUCUUCAUUUGUUUCUUCUCCUUUCUUUCUCGCUUUUUCUUCAUUUAAUCCUUAUUCUCUAAUAUUUUUAAAAUUAUUUUGAAUUUCUUUAAAAAAUUCUAAAAUUCAAUUUUAUAUAAACUUGGGCUUAUUGCCAGCAAGAUAGAUUUGUGUUUUCUAAUUUGUCGUACAUCAUGACUAGAAUGAAGAUCUCUCCUAUAUGUUGCCUUUUGAAUUGCUAUGCUGAGAAGGAAAAAGGCAAGUUAUUAAUAUUAUAUGGGCACAUGUCAGAAAGAUAUGAUUCAUAUUCUGGAUGUGCAAGUGAAAUCAGGUAGCUUGAUAAGGAAAUGACUAAAGGAGGCCAAUUGGUAUGGCGAUGAUCGAGAAACAUUUAGACAUUGAAUAUCUAGGAAUACAAGAUCUCAAGAUAGGCUUGGAUGGCAAAGAAGGGUGCAUAUAAUGAGUCUAAUUGACAUUUUUUUUCUCUUGACGAUUUGUACAACCAAGAGCAAUUUGAAUAGCUAGAAAUUAACAAGGAUAUCAGCACCAGUCUGCACGAUCGGCAAUUCAGCAUGGUCGCACAUACCAAAGAUGCUAAUAAGCCUGUGCUGACUGUACCAACAAAAAAAAAAAAAUAGGGUUUCUGCUGCGCAAACUGGCAUGCCCGAAACCAAUCACAUAGCAAUCCUUCUAGCCUAACUUGUAAGUUUCGCAUUUAAGGAUAUCAAGUGAAUAAUGUAGGAGCAGUUAUUACAAAGAAAGAAUUCUCAUUUCAUGAAAGGCACAUCCUCCAUGUUUUCUAUCCUAUAACAUUUUCCAUGGUUCCGCCAUCAAGUUUAACAGAAAACAUCAAAAAGAAUGCUUCAAACAUAAAGUUUUAAAAUUUACCAUCAACAAGUUUGAAAUUCUGAAACCAAAAUCUAAACUUUACCAUCAUUCACAAGUAUCCCUGUAUAACUAAAAUGUGAAUAACUACAGGUGCCACCAAAGAUAUCACUGAACCAACAUAAUUCGAUCCCUGAAUGCUCUCUAUCUUCAAGAAAGCAACUAAGUUAUCGCAAAAUAACCCGUACCACCAUCUUUCAAACUAAAACAGAUCAUAAAGGAAAUGCACGGGGCGGGGGGCGCCCCUCCCCACAUUGCACUGGUUAGUGAUGUUCCCGAGCGCGACCCUCUUCUUGGCCUGCUCCGCCGCGGGCGCGGCCACCUUGGUGGCGUUCUCCGCCGCUACAGGCCUCUUCGCAAGCGACGACGAGGACGAACCCGGCCCGGGCAACGGAGUCGAUCCCCGGUUCGAGCUCGCCAUCGAGGUGAAACGACCCUAACCCUAACCGUAACCCUCGAGCCGUAGGCCGGCCGGGUUCAUUGUCGAUCCAUUCUUCCCGUUGCGCUGUUUUCUUUAGCGACGCUUCGUUCCUGCUAUUGAUCGCCCUCCGUUCGUAAAAUUGGUUCGGAUUCAUUCUCCAUGCUCCCGUAGAUUCAUUGAAUAUCUGUAUUUGUUGAAUCCGAAGAUUCAUUUUACGUUGAAUGCAAUUAUUGUUGUUGCCUAUAUAAUAUGCCUUCAUCAAAUUUUAAUUUGUAGCAAAAAAAUUUUAUUUUUCNGUUAGGGUUCGGGAAUUGGGGAGGGAGGAGGAGAAAGGAGGGUUAUCGUUUUCGCUUGGACAAGAAGGUCGGAUUUUUAGAGGAAGGAGAUGGAGAGAGAGAGGGGGGGAGGGGGGCGGAGGGAAGGGGAAGGGAUUUGAAAUCUCGGGAGAUCUCGACCGUCCAUCAAGCGACCAUCUCAUAGCGUCGAGGAGCGUGCCGGAGCGUGGCCACGUGGCAGCUUUCCCAGUCCUCCUGCGUUUGAAUCGCCCCUCGAGUCCCGUCACCGCAGGUUAGCGGUGACGUGAAGUUUACAAAUUGCAGAGGGACCCCUUAAUUCUAUUCUAUUUUGAAAUUGGCUCCUAAACUAUAAUUUUUUUUUUUAUUUACAUCCUCCUCCUUUGUAAUUUUUGUAUUUCAGUUAUUAUAGUAAUUUAAGUUUAAAUUUUUUAUUAGAUUUCUCAGCUUAUUUAGCUAUUAAUUAAUUGUUAGAUCGUCUAAUUUUAUUUGGCUAUAAAAAAUAUUAAAGCUAUUAAAUAUGAUGAAAUUCCUAAUUAAGCUAACUAAAAUUAGUAAAUUAUAAAAUAAGCAAUGUAAUCCCUACACCUAUUUUAUAAGUGUAAACUUUACACUCUAAUUCUCCUGCUUAUAUUUUUUUACUUAUUUUAUCAUUUUUUUUACUCAAACGUAAACUGCAUUUAUUGACUCUUAGAUCUAGAGUGUAAAAUUUAUACAAAAGUGUAUAAUUAAUAUUUUUCUUAAAAGUUAUAAGCAAUGUUAUCGUUACAUCCAAAACGGAAUGUACAACUAUGGACACUUCAUUCAAGAGCAAUUAUUUCUUAUUUAUCAGAUUAAUUUUUUUUCUCUUUACUAAAUAGUAUUUGGACUUUUUUGUGAAUUCUAAAAUGGGAGAGUAAGAUCUAUAUACUCUUCGUUUUUGGUAUAUAAAUAUUUUUAAAAAAAAUUUAAUAAAAAAAUUGUAUGAAGACCCCUCACCUAAGUCCAUUAUGAAAACACUCACUCAACUCUUGGUCAUUUUACAAUUGCAUGAUUUUUUCCACAUAAAUUGAGAAUUUUAUCAAAUUCAUCAAAAAUGUAAUUAAAAAUGGCAGUUUUAAUCAGUUUUAGUAAAUAAAAUCAGAAUAAUUAAUUAACAAAUAACCGCUAAAACUAGAAAAUUUUAAAUAAAUAAAAUUAGAGGUUCAGAAGAUGCUAUAAUAAAAAUAAAAAAUAAAGUCGAGGGGGUCUCCGUACAUGCUCAUAGUUGUGCGCGGUAUGGUUUUUUAUUGGAAAAAUUUCCUCCAUACCCUUAUAAAACCGUCUAAUUUCAUAAAUACUCAUCUAAAAAUUGAGAUAUCAUGUAUACCACCCCAAAUUUGAAAAACUUUAAAAAAUAACCCUACCAUCAAGUUUCUAUCUAAAUAAAUUAAAGUUAAUGAGUAUUUAAAUUCCAAUUUUACCUCUCUUAUGUAUUCAAUAGUCAAUUAUUUUAUUUCAUAAAUAUCCUCUAUUAUAUUUCAAAAUUAACUAAGUAAAAUUCAAUUAAUUUUAAUUAAAAAAAAUUAUUCAUUUCAAUUAAAAAUAAAUAUUUUUAUUUGGAAUAAAUUGUAGUUAAAUUACCAAUGAAGCAAAAUAAAAUAAAAUAUAACUAUAAUUUAUUGCAAAUAGAAAUAUUUAUUUUUAAUUGAAAUGAAUAGUUUUUUUAAACUAAAAUCAAUUGAAUUUUACUAAAUUUUUAGUCUAGAUAGAGUUUAUUAAUUUUGAAAUAUUAGAGGGGUAAAGUUAGAAUUUAAAUACUAAUUAAUGUUAAUUUGGAUGGAAACUUGAUUGUAAGAUUAUUUUUGAAAGUUUUUCAAAUGUGGGGGUGUAUACAUGAUAUUUCAAUUUUUAGAUGACUAUUUAUGAAAUUAAAUGGUUUUAGAAGGGUAUAGAGGAAAUUGUCCCUUUUUUUUGGGUAAACUUCAAAUACCACCUCUGUGGUUUCGUACUUUCUCACUUUAGUAUCCUAUGGAUCAAGUUAGUGUUUUGUUGUUUUAUUUUUAUCUUUUCGUCAGUUUUUUCGUUAAUAUUUUGUUAAAUUAUAUACAAAAAACUUCAGAUACUCUACCUAUGUUUAUCAAAUAUUCACUUUAGUACCAUUUAGUUUUAACUUUGCCACUGAUUUAACGAAAAUAAUUAGUGAAAUCGAUAAUAAAAAGAUAAAAAUGAAACCACAGGACACUAAAUUGAUAUACUUUAAAUUAUGUAGAGUAUCUGAAGUUUUUUGUAUAUAAUUGAACAAAAUAUUAACCAAAAAGCUGACGANUUUUUUUUUUUUUUUUUGUUUGUGGAGGUGAGGAGAGAGGGUGGUGAGCGGAUACGCGGGGUUUUUAAAUUCGAAAUGGAGAAGAAGGUGUGAGGUGGAAAAAGCAUUUGAUCGUUUGCGGAGAAAAGUUAAAAAGGAAGAUUUGGAGCAAUGAGUUGGAGCGAAACUGCUUCGCGUCCCACAACGUGUACCCCAGAUGUUCUCAUUUCAAAUUUCAACUCUAUUCGUCUUUUUGGAUGUUAGUACAAGCCCUGCGGCUCUACUCUCAUUAAGAAUGCAGGCAUUAUUUAGUCACAGUAACAACGGUUAUCCUGUUUAGAUGUAUAUUGAUAGUUAGGAGUAUUAUAAGUAGAUAAAAAUAUAUAGAACUCAUCUAAAUUGUGGAUUAUUUUGAAUCGACUAUUCAACUUUUCAAAAAAAAAUUUUACUGCUAAGUAUGCAAACGGUGCUAAUCUAGGAGCGGGAGCCCCGCCUCGAAUCCGUGACGAAUUAAAAAAUAUAUCCCAUAAUCUGUCCCACCUUAUAACUCACCUCUUGCCGGCGCCACGAAUCCCCCCUGCCAAUUAAUAUUUUUUUACAAAAUUUAUAAUAUCAUUAAUAUUUUGUAAAAUGUAAUUAAUAUUUUAAUAAUAAUGAGUAGUAUUACUAAGUUAUAUAUAUAUAAAAUUAACAAUAUCAAUUACAAAAAUUAAAAAUAUCAAUCACAAUUCAAAAGUUUUAAAUACAUAAGAAAUGAGAGCACCGACUAAUUUGUAUUUUAGACUUUUUGUAAAUAUAUUAUUUUUUANAUAUAUAUAUAUAAUUAACAAUAUCAAUUACAAAAAUCAAAAAUAUCAAUCACAAUUCAAAAGUUUUAAAUACAUAAGAAAUGAGAGCACCGACUAAUUUGUAUUUUAGACUUUUUGUAAAUAUAUUAUUUUUUAGGAAUAUUUUCUUAAAAUAUAAACGAUUUUCGGAAUAGAUUCAGAGCGAAUCAUGGCGGGACGGAUUUGAGACGAGUCAAAAAAUUUUUACGUUUCCUGACCUGAAUCCGUCUCGGAUUAUAAAAAUUAUCCCUUUUCUUUGCCCCAAAUCCAUUUAUUUCUCGUCGUUUAUUGUCCCAUUCGGGGCAGAGCGGGGCGGGAGCUCCACCAACCCAGAUCUGUUUACAUCCCUAUUUACUACCCAACCAUUCAUUUAAGAUAUUUUGACUUCAAAUUUUAAACUAAUAUUUAUUUUAAUAAAUUUAUAAUUAUGAAAAUUACAUAAAAUAUACUAACUAAAUCUGUAGAAUAAACAAUACAUUUAAUUUUGAAGGUAAAUUACUGUUAACUGACUCUAAUCACACAAAUUGAAAUAUUAGUAGAAAAAUCAAAAGUUUGAAAGGUUGAAUAGUUGGUUCAAAAAAAUGUAAAGUCGAGAUAAGUUCUAUACAUUUCUACCUGGUUACUUACAGUUACAAGUUACAAGGUUGAAUACUCUUUUUAGAUUUGAGAGAUGAGCAAAAUGGAAUUAUAGUUUUUUUUUUNUUUUUUUUUUUUGAGAGAGAGAGAGAGAGAUAGAUAGCACGCUACCCAUUUCGUUUUAUUUCAUUUAAAAAUAAACUUAGCUAGAAAUGUGAAUCAACUAGGAUUCGAACUUAGGUCUCGGGUACCGACCACCAAGCCCUUUGCCACUUACUCUCGGGUACCAACCACCAAGCACAAUGGAAUUAUAGUUGAUCGAGACGUAAUAAUAAUAAUAAUAAUAAUAAAACUUGCAUAUGCAGGUCCAACUGUUAUAUGAGAUGCAACCAUCACCCUAAAAAAAUUUGUUUAGCUCUCAUGCAGUUAAAUAUAUUAUAUAAAUAGAAGGAAGAACCUUUAAACAACAUUUGAAACGGAUAGCAUGUUAUCUUUCUCUAAGGAAAAAAAAAUCUGAAACUCUGAGUAAUGACCACUCUAGAAGAUAGGAUAUAUACUAGCGCAAGGGCACAUCUCCUAACUAAUAAUCUUUAUAGAAUAUUAAUAUGUUAAUAUAUUAUCCAUACAAUAUAAAAAAAGACAAUUUCUUGUGUAUUUCUGAAAAAUGUCGGACUUUCUUACUUAUCUAUUAAAAGGUUAAUAUAAACAAAAUUCUUUUAAUGCUACAAAUUCUUUUAAAUAUGCUAAUAGUGUUAAAUUCUACUAGUGAACCGUUAGAAACAAUUAUUAUUUCUGUAAAACUACUAUUUAGUUUAUUCAAAUAUACUCUUAUACCAUCAUCAAUUUUCUUAUUUCUUUUAAGUUAGAAGCAAAAGAAAUAACUUGACUUUUGCCAUUUCAAAUAUAAUGGCUUAACGGAUUCUAGCAGAGAGGCUAUUUUUGAAUAAUGUAUAAAUAUACGAAAAUAUAUUGAAAAUAUAGGAAGUACAAAAAAUAUUUUAAAAAUUUUGAAAGGUAUAUUAGAUAAUAUAAAAAAUUAUUUGGAUUUGUCAAUAUGUCAAGAGCCAAACAAAGACCCAAGGCUACAAAUAAAGAGUAGCAGAGGCAAUGGAAAAUUGGAACCAAUUAAAAUGCCACUCCUCCAUGUUUGUAUAAAGUCUCCUACAACCAGGGUUGUAGAAUAAAGGGAAAACUUCAAAAACACCCCUGUGGUUUCACACUUUUUUAUUUUAGUAUCUUGUGGUUUAAAGUGUAUCAAGUUAGUAUCCUGUGGUUUCUCAAUUUAUCACUUUAGUACCCUGUGGUUUAAAGUGUAUCAAGUUAGUACCCUAUGGUUUUGCACUUUAUCACUUUAAUACCCUGUGGUUUCACACUUUAUCACUUUAGUACCCUAUAGUUUAAAAAAUCACAGGGUACUAACUUGAUACAAAAUUAAAACCACAGAGUACUAAAGUGAUAAAGUACAAAACCACAUGGUACUAACGUGAUACACUUUAAACCACUGAGUACUAAAGUGAUAAAGUGAGAAAUCACAUGGUAUUAACUUGAUACAUUUUAAACCACAUGGUACUAAAGUGAAAAAAAUUGAAACCACAAAGGAGGUUUUUGAAGUUUUUUCUAGAAUAAAAUAUCAACUUUCCUAUUUGAAUUGCCCACUUUUGGGAAGGCUGAGACAGGACAAGCAUGCCAGCUACAGCAGGCAGCCAAACCCAAGUUUCUGGGACCAUCCAUAAGAUUUGCCCUCUUCUGAUGGCUGCAUUGAUUGAGCCUUUUAAUUGGCAUUCAAUAACUUGGCAUUCACCACUAUGCAAGUGCCCUUAAAAACCAUGAGAUGAGAAUUAAAUGGGAUGAUCCCUUUGAACUCUGACUGGUUAUUAAUUUCAUUUCACCACCAAGGAGAUUGGGUAUACAAUGUUUUCUUAAAUAGAGCACAUGGGCCUAACACAUUCUUUUUAUAUGCGUAUCUUACUGCAUGGGCAUAUUAAUGGUUCUGCUAAAUGAACCUUUUUUUUUUUAUUUCCGAAGCAAAUUGAUUAAAUUUUGGUUAGAUACAACGAAUUUGCGCGGUAAAUAACAAAAACAGUCAUCUUAAUAAUAAUAAUUUCCCUUCAAAAAGGCCUGUAGUUUGAAUAAAAAGAACUUCUACAAUAUUGCGGGGCCAAGCAUUCUUUUAUAGGAGGGUAAGUUUGUGGCUUCUUGCUUUUAAUGCAUUGUUUUGAUAGAAAUAGGAGAGGGAUCAUAAGAAAGACUUAAGAAAAGUAAGUAAUUUCUUAUUAUUAUUAUUAUUUUGGAUGAAGGAAAGAAAAAAAUUAAAGAAAAUAACUUUCUUCUUUUCUAUCCACUUUUGGAGGGGGGAGAUACAACCGCUGCGAAAAAUUAUUUUCUCUAUAUUUCUCUACAUCCAUUUUUCUUUUCUUUUUUUUUUCUUCUCACGUGUCAAUCUGAUUGACAGAAUAUUAUUUUCUUUUAUAAAUUUUUUUUGUUUCUUUUUCUCUUCAUCCAAACGGGAAAUGAAAUCUAUGUAUGGUUAAAUUGUAAUUUUAUUUGGAGGAACCAUAAUAGACUUAAAAAAUGAUAUGCACAAUUGAGACGAGUUUUCAAGAAAAAAAAUUAAUUAAUGCUCCCUUCAUCUUGCUUGUCAAGGUUUUACCUACUGUAGCUAGCACAAGUGGCAACGGGUUUGAUGAUUGGUACUCAAGAUCUCUCGUUUGAAGCUUAGUUGCUUCACAUUUUUAAUUAAUUUUAUUUUUUCUAAAAAAUGAAUGAAACAGAUAGCAUACUUACAUUCUCUUAACAAAAAAAAAGUUUUCAAGGUUAUAAGUUUCCUGAACCAAACCUCCCCUCUUCAAGUUGUGACUAUGGUACGUCCAUACAAAUCAAAUCCAAUUUCAAAUUUGAAUCUAUGAAAAUGCAAGAUUAAGGAGGGUAGCAAUGUCUAUGGAGACGUGAGGGGUUGAUCAAAGUUAUGCAACAAGAUGUCUAAUAAUAUAUUCAAUAACUAAAAGAUAAUAAAACAAUAUGAAUUGGCAUACUCAGCCUAACGUUGUCAUCACCACAUGGUCCACUAUGGGGUAUAUUUAUCCAGUCCUACUGCAAUUAAUAUUAGGAAUGGAUGAUAUAAUAUAUUAUAAUAAAGUAAGUUAAAUUAUAGAAAAAUUUUUUUAAAUAUUUUUUUUUAACUUUCAAAAUUUAUAUUUUACCCCUCAAUAUUUUAAGUGUUAUAUUUAGCCACCUCUCCGUUAGAAUUUUAUUUCUAUUUCGCCUAUUUCUUAUAAUUUAUACCGAAAAUGUCCUUCAAAAUAAAAAAUAUAUUUAAAAUAUUUUUACCGACUGUCCCUAGAGCAAGUGGCAAAGGGCUUUGGUGUUGGUACUCGAAACCCAAGUCGAAUCCUAGUUGAUUCACAUUUCCAGCUAAGUUUAUUUCUAAAUGAAAAAAAACGAAGCGGGUAGCGUGCUACAUACUCUCAAAAAAAAAAAUUAUAUAUAUAUAUAUAUAUACUAUAAUUAUAUAUUUCUUAUAGAAAAAGUAAAUGCAAUUGGUUAUUUUAUCUUUUUCAUUAACACCGUAUCCUUUUGAAAAUAUUUCUGAAAUUUUAACGGGGCAAAAUGUUUAUUUUUAAAGUUGAGGAGAAAAGUGGAAAGUGAAUAUUAUCUGAAGGUUUUCUAUAAUUUAGUCUAUAAAGUAUAAUAUUAUUAAGGAUAUAUAUUAAUAUGAGUUGGGCUAGAUCACUAUUGAUAGCAAAAAUGCCUUUUUUAUUAUUAAGUUUUUAGUCUUUUGAUCAAUUUCUUUCAUCAUUUUUAACCAUUGGAUUAAAUAUUAUAACCCAGUGGAGACCACUCAACCCUAACCCUACAAUUUCUCAUCUAAGGAUUAAAAACUUGAUAACAAAAAUGACUUUUUGCUCCAGCCUAUCUUAUAUUAAUAUAUAUAUACAUAUAAAUAAAUAUCUAGUUCUCAUAUGAGGAUAAGGGGUGAAAAUGGUCGAAUACGGUGGAAUAUUUUAUAAAACUAUAUUUACAUUCAUAUUUUUUUUUACAUAUGCUAAUCUAAAUGUGAAUAUAUUUUAGAUGAUAAAUUUUCAUUGUUAUAUUUGUUAAAAAUUGAUUCAGUUUCAGAUAUGACUCGAAUUUGUAUUCGGAUAUUAUUUGGAUAAUAAUAUAUAUUAAUAUGCAUAUAUCAACAUAAACUAAAAUUAGUGUGAAUUAUACACAUAAUAUAAUUAAACAAGUUCACACUCGUGUUCAAACUUUGUAUACUUAUAUUUAUUCAAUAAAAUUUAAUAUUUAAUAAACAUAAAUGCAAUUUUAACAUAAAAAUCAUAAUAAAAUAAACGAAGAAUACGAUAAAAAAUUAUCUGAUCUCUUUAUAAUAAUAUAUAUUAAUAUUCCUCUUAUCUUUUAGGGGUGAAACGGUUGAAUAUAGUUAGAUUUUUUUUUUUCUUGAGAGAUAGGUAGCUUGCUAUCCGCAUCAUUUAUUUUAUUUAGAAAUAAAUUUAACUGAAAAUGUUAAUCAACUAGGAUUAGAACUUGCGACCUCAGGUACCAAACCACCAAACCCUUUACCACUUGCUCUAGGAACAAUUGUUAUAAUCAGAUUUGUUAAAAACCAUAUUUUGCAUCCAUUUUUUUUUUCUAUUUUUUUUCGAAUGCCAAUUCGAAUACGAAUUGGCAUGGAAUGCUAAAUUUUGACAUCCAUAUUCAUAUCCUAUCCAAUUCGAUAUUACAUUCGAUUGGAGUUUAUCCUAACCAUUUUCACCUUUGGCGAUAUAUUAUAAAUAGUAUUAAUAUACACAGUUAUACAUAUAGAUAUAGCUCAAUAUAUAUACUACGUCUUGCUAUAUAUAGUUAUAAUAUAUAACUACAUAUUAUAUAUAUAAUAUAUUAUUUGUUCAUAUGAGAAUAUAUUAUUCUAAUGCUCUAAUUAAUUGAACAUUUUCUAUUGAUUCACACACUUGAUUUUAAUUGACUAUCUAGUUGUUUAUUAGUUUUUAUUGAUAAUACAGAUGCCUUUUAGCUAAUGACUAAAAUUAUUUUUUAAUGAAUGAUAAUUACAACUUUUGAUACUAUGAGAUAUCGAGAUUGAGUUGAGUAUUGAUGAUACUUUAGAGGCAAACUAACUUUUUGAUGUGAUCAAAUUUCAAUCUUGAAUGUAUAAAAAUAGAUAUGUUUUACUUUAAUUUAAUACAAUAAAAACAUAUAUGUGUGAGCUUUAAUAAAGCCUGAUGGAUAUAUUGGACAUUAAGCUUGGGCAUGGAUCGGGUCUUAAUUUUUUAAAAAAGAUUAGGUUGAAGCUCGACCUGAAGCCCAAUAUUUUCUUUUUUGUCGAGUCUUGGGCAUAGAUGAAAAUGUACCAAGAAUUUAGUAAUAGGAUAUUUAGAAAUAAGUCUUACAAGGUAUUAUAUUAAAGCUCUAUUAGCUAAUAGUGAUUAAUUAGUAUAUUUUCAUUUGCUAAAAACUAAGAAAUUACAUCAAAGAUUUGUAAGUUAUUUGAAUGAAAUAAUGUAAAUAAAAUAGUUAGAAGUCAGCUAGUAUAAAUAAAAAAAUGAAGUAGACAUUUUUAGAUUAAUUAUUUGAAUCAAUAAAUCUUUUUCAUUAAAAAUUUGAUUAAAUAAAAUCUUAUUUAUUUGCUAAAGUUUUUAUUUGCAUCUAGUGGUCUCCUUCGUGAUUGAAUACUAUUUUCAACCCUUCAUAAAUAAUAGAAGUGAAAAUUAAAAUCUUCAUACUUGUUUCAUUGAAAGUGGACUUAGUGGAGAGUGAGUAAUUUUCGGCUGUAAAUAUCUACUUUUGGUAUUUGAUUUAUUGUAACUUUAUCUUUGGUUGAAACUUAAACUUUCCAAAGUAAAGCAAUUGAUUUUGACCCACAUGAGAUCAAAGUCAAUUACGAAUAAAACAUGAGAAAAAAAAUAAAAUAUUAAAUUAUCCGUCACACCUCUAAAUAUUACGUCAUCCAUUUUCUACGAAAUAAACAACAAAGCUGAAAAAUCUUCAAUUUCAUAGCUAUAAAAAAAAAAAAAAAAUCUAUUCCAACCUAAUCUUCACCCUUUAUUGGAACAACAACCCAUCAGUCAUAAAGGCACGGAAAGGUGUGCUUCAAUUCAUAUUAUUCAUAAAAUCGAAUUGAUAGAAAAUGCUUUAGGCUUCGUUUGGGAGUAUAGGAAUAUUGAGUUAUUUGCUAUGAGAAAGUACGAUUAAAAAAUAUUUUAUUGAUUUUCAUAUAUAAUAUCACGUUCCAUAUAUUGCAAUAAGUCGAUUAUAAUAUAUUGUUUUCUAUUUCACUGAAAAAUAUAGAAUAAUAUCUCUAUAUGCUUUUGUUGCAACUUUAUUUUAUCUUGGUAAAAAUAUAAAAAAUUUAUUUCAAUUAUCACCCAUUUUGACCUUUAAAAAAAUUGAUUUUACUAUCUAACUUUUUAAUUUGAUUUGUUUUAGUUAUUGAUCCUUUAACUUCAAAAUUUGAACAUGUCUUUUAUUUUUAUGGUUCACAUAACUAUAAAUUUAUUAAAGUAAGCAAUUAGCUUAAUUGUAUAUCUGAAGAGUGAUCAAAUUAUUGAAAUCAAACAAGUUAAACAAUUGGUACUUACAAUUAAAAUUUUAGAAAGUUAAACUUUCAAAUCAAUUGGUCUAUAGUCUAGGUAAGUUUUAUACAUUUUUUAUCUUUUAUCUAUUAGCGUUUAAUGAACCUUUCAGUAGAAGAAAACUAUUUAUCAACUUGAUGAGCUAACUAUCUAACAUUUAAAAUUUUUGAUUUCAUUAUUUAAUCUAUUAAUUUAUUUGCUUUGAGCUAAUUGGUGAUCCUUCAACUUCAAAAUUUGGACGAGUCAAUAUCCUUAAAGAUUUAGUUAAUAUAUUAUAUGCAAUUCACAUAACUAUAAAUUCAUCAAAGUAAAUAAUUUAUUUAAAUUUUAUAUCAACAAAACCAUCAAAUUACUAAAAUCAAAUAAAUCAAAAAAUUAAUAUUAAAAAUUAAAAUGUUAAAUAAUUAAAUACUCAAAUCAAAAUGAUUUAUAGUUCGGAUAAAUUUUAUAAAUUUUAUAUUUUAUCUUUAAUCUGAGAUCGAUGCCUCGCUUUCCGGGAGAGUCACUCAUCAUUGAUCUAUUCUAGUGCUAACAAGCCUAACCCUCUUAACUUAAGCUUAGCGGCCAUCUAAAACACUAUAGCCGGGUUUAAGAGGUUAGCCCCAUUUUACUUUAUAUAUAAGACUUUUAAAUUCUAAAAAUAUCACAUUUCUGUGAGACUCCAGAUAGUUCUAUAUAUAAGAUAUAAUAGGGCUAAACUCUUAACCCGGCUUAAACAUUUUGGGCGGUGGCUAGACCCAAGAGGUUAAAAGAGUUAAGCGUGCUAGGACGGGAGUAGUCCUAGGAUGGGUGACCCCCUGGGAAGUUGGGGCGUCACAGAUGGUAUCAGAGCUAAUUACCAGCCGGAAGUGUGAGAUGAGUCUUGGCUGAGCCAGGGUCUGGAUGACGGGCUAGCGAGACGAGUCUUACAUCGCCUGAUACUUGUGAGUCUAAGCCUGACGAGGACGUCAGGGCUUAAAGGAGGGGAGAUUGUGAGACCUCAGAUAGUUCUAUAUAUAAGAUAUAAUAGGACUAAACUCUUAACCCGGCUUAAGCAUUUUGGGCGGUGGCUAGACCCAAGAGGUUAAGAGAGUUAAGCAUGCUAGGACGGGAGUAGUCCUAGAAUGGAUGACCCCCUGGGAAAUUGGGGCGUCACAAUUUCUCUCCUUUAAAUUCUAACGAACAACAGGCUCUCAAACAUCC